AGUGAGCGCUGGCGGUAGGCCUAACACAUGCAAGUCGAACGGCAGCACAGUAAGAGCUUGCUCUUACGGGUGGCGAGUGGCGGACGGGUGAGGAAUACAUCGGAAUCUACUUUUUCGUGGGGGAUAACGUAGGGAAACUUACGCUAAUACCGCAUACGACCUACGGGUGAAAGCAGGGGAUCUUCGGACCUUGCGCGAUUGAAUGAGCCGAUGUCGGAUUAGCUAGUUGGCGGGGUAAAGGCCCACCAAGGCGACGAUCCGUAGCUGGUCUGAGAGGAUGAUCAGCCACACUGGAACUGAGACACGGUCCAGACUCCUACGGGAGGCAGCAGUGGGGAAUAUUGGACAAUGGGCGCAAGCCUGAUCCGGCCAUACCGCGUGGGUGAAGAAGGCCUUCGGGUUGUAAAGCCCUUUUGUUGGGAAAGAAAAGCAGCAGGUUAAUACCCCGCUGUUCUGACGGUACCCAAAGAAUAAGCACCGGCUAACUUCGU
rnacentral:rRNA from 1 species